UUGGAGGGCAAGUCUGGUGCCAGCAGCCGCGGUAAUUCCAGCUCCAAUAGCGUAUAUUAAAGUUGUUGCAGUUAAAAAGCUCGUAGUUGAAUUUCGGGAUCAGAGUGUCGGUCGUGCCUCGGUACGAACUGGUACUAUUGGUUCCUACCUUCUGAAGAACCGCGAUGUCAUUAAUUUGGUGUCGUGGGGAAUCAGGACUGUUACUUUGAAAAAAUUAGAGUGUUUAAAGCAGGCUUACGCUUGAAUACAUUAGCAUGGAAUAAUGAAAUAGGACGUUUGAUUCUAUUUUGUUGGUUUCUAGGAUUGACGUAAUGAUUAAUAGGGAUAGUUGGGGGCAUUAGUAUUCAAUUGUCAGAGGUGAAAUUCUUGGAUUUAUUGAAGACUAACUACUGCGAAAGCAUUUGCCAAGGAUGUUUUCAUUAAUCAAGAACGAAGGUUAGGGGAUCGAAGACGAUCAGAUACCGUCGUAGUCUUAACCAUAAACUAUGCCGACUAGGGAUCGGAUGAUGUUAAUUUUUUAAUGACUCAUUCGGCGCCUUACGGGAAACCAAAGUGUUUGGGUUC
rnacentral:rRNA from 1 species